UUAAGCGACUAAGCGUACACGGUGGAUGCCCUGGCAGUCAGAGGCGAUGAAGGACGUGCUAAUCUGCGAAAAGCGUCGGUAAGGUGAUAUGAACCGUUAUAACCGGCGAUACCCGAAUGGGGAAACCCAGUGUGUUUCGACACACUAUCAUGUCAUGAAUACAUAGUGGCAUGAGGCGAACCGGGGGAACUGAAACAUCUAAGUACCCCGAGGAAAAGAAAUCAACCGAGAUUCCCCCAGUAGCGGCGAGCGAACGGGGAGGAGCCCAGAGCCUGAAUCAGUGUGUGUGUUAGUGGAAGCGUCUGGAAAGGCGUGCGAUACAGGGUGACAGCCCCGUACACAAAAAUGCACAUAUUGUGAGCUCGAUGAGUAGGGCGGGACACGUGGUAUCCUGUCUGAAUAUGGGGGGACCAUCCUCCAAGGCUAAAUACUCCUGACUGACCGAUAGUGAACCAGUACCGUGAGGGAAAGGCGAAAAGAACCCCGGCGAGGGGAGUGAAAAAGAACCUGAAACCGUGUACGUACAAGCAGUGGGAGCCUCUUAAUGGGGUGACUGCGUACCUUUUGUAUAAUGGGUCAGCGACUUAUAUUCUGUAGCAAGGUUAACCGAAUAGGGGAGCCGAAGGGAAACCGAGUCUUAACUGGGCGUUAAGUUGCAGGGUAUAGACCCGAAACCCGGUGAUCUAGCCAUGGGCAGGUUGAAGGUUGGGUAACACUAACUGGAGGACCGAACCGACUAAUGUUGAAAAAUUAGCGGAUGACUUGUGGCUGGGGGUGAAAGGCCAAUCAAACCGGGAGAUAGCUGGUUCUCCCCGAAAGCUAUUUAGGUAGCGCCUCGUGAAUUCAUCUCCGGGGGUAGAGCACUGUUUCGGCAAGGGGGUCAUCCCGACUUACCAACCCGAUGCAAACUGCGAAUACCGGAGAAUGUUAUCACGGGAGACACACGGCGGGUGCUAACGUCCGUCGUGAAGAGGGAAACAACCCAGACCGCCAGCUAAGGUCCCAAAGUCAUGGUUAAGUGGGAAACGAUGUGGGAAGGCCCAGACAGCCAGGAUGUUGGCUUAGAAGCAGCCAUCAUUUAAAGAAAGCGUAAUAGCUCACUGGUCGAGUCGGCCUGCGCGGAAGAUGUAACGGGGCUAAACCAUGCACCGAAGCUGCGGCAGCGACACUAUGUGUUGUUGGGUAGGGGAGCGUUCUGUAAGCCUGUGAAGGUGGCCUGUGAGGGUUGCUGGAGGUAUCAGAAGUGCGAAUGCUGACAUAAGUAACGAUAAAGCGGGUGAAAAGCCCGCUCGCCGGAAGACCAAGGGUUCCUGUCCAACGUUAAUCGGGGCAGGGUGAGUCGACCCCUAAGGCGAGGCCGAAAGGCGUAGUCGAUGGGAAACAGGUUAAUAUUCCUGUACUUGGUGUUACUGCGAAGGGGGGACGGAGAAGGCUAUGUUAGCCGGGCGACGGUUGUCCCGGUUUAAGCAUGUAGGCUGGUUGUCCAGGCAAAUCCGGAUAAUCAAGGCUGAGGUGUGAUGACGAGGCACUACGGUGCUGAAGUAACAAAUGCCCUGCUUCCAGGAAAAGCCUCUAAGCAUCAGGUAACAUUAAAUCGUACCCCAAACCGACACAGGUGGUCAGGUAGAGAAUACCAAGGCGCUUGAGAGAACUCGGGUGAAGGAACUAGGCAAAAUGGUGCCGUAACUUCGGGAGAAGGCACGCUGAUAUGUAGGUGAAGCGACUUGCUCGUGGAGCUGAAAUCAGUCGAAGAUACCAGCUGGCUGCAACUGUUUAUUAAAAACACAGCACUGUGCAAACACGAAAGUGGACGUAUACGGUGUGACGCCUGCCCGGUGCCGGAAGGUUAAUUGAUGGGGUUAGCGGUAACGCGAAGCUCUUGAUCGAAGCCCCGGUAAACGGCGGCCGUAACUAUAACGGUCCUAAGGUAGCGAAAUUCCUUGUCGGGU
rnacentral:rRNA from 1 species